rnacentral:rRNA from 1 species
UACGUAGGGGGCAAGCGUUGUCCGGAAUUACUGGGCGUAAAGGGCUUGUAGGUGGCCAACUAAGUCAGACGUGAAAUCCCUCGGCUUAACCGGGGAACUGCGUCUGAUACUGGAUGGCUUGAGUGUGGGAGAGGGAUGCGGAAUUCCAGGUGUAGCGGUGAAAUGCGUAGAUAUCUGGAGGAACACCGGUGGCGAAGGCGGCAUCCUGGACCAUUACUGACACUGAAAAGCGAAAGCCAGGGGAGCAAACGGG